GCCAGACGUGUUGCAUGCCUGUAAGCCCGUUAUCCGGGGGGCUGAGGCAGCAGGAUCACAUGAGCACAGGAGUCUGGGCUAUAGUGCACUAUGUGGAUUGGGUGUCCAUACUAAGUUCGGCGUCAAUAUAGGGACCUCCCAGGAGUAGGGAACCACCAGGUUAUCAGGAGGAAUGAACCAGCCCAGGUCAGAAAGAGAACUGGUCAAAACUCCCAUGCUUAUCAGUAUGGGAUCAAGCCUGUGAUUAGCCACUGUACUCCAGCCUGGGAAACAUAGCAAGAUCCCAUUUCU
rnacentral:SRP_RNA from 1 species